rnacentral:misc_RNA from 1 species
GCCACCCCUCUUGAGAUCAAGGUUAAUGGUGAUCAUUCCCGGCCUGAAGUCGAAGUUUUCUUUCACGAUUUGCAGGAUUUCCUUGUCGGGGAUCUUCCCGGUUUUGUAUGUAUCGACAAAAACUGAUAGCGGCUCUGGCACACCAAUGGCGUAAGAGACUUGGACAAUGCACCUGCGUGCAAGCCCGCUGGCAACUAUGCUCUUAGCAGCCUGCCUGACAAUGU